rnacentral:rRNA from 1 species
GUAACGGAGGCGCGCGAAGGUUGGCUCAGAGCGGUCGGAAAUCGCUCGUUGAGUGCAAUGGCAGAAGCCAGCCUGACUGCGAGACUGACAAGUCGAGCAGAGUCGAAAGACGGCCAUAGUGAUCCGGUGGUCCCGAGUGGAAGGGCCAUCGCUCAACGGAUAAAAGGUACGCCGGGGAUAACAGGCUGAUACUGCCCAAGAGUCCAUAUCGACGGCAGUGUUUGGCACCUCGAUGUCGGCUCAUCUCAUCCUGGGGCUGGAGCAGGUCCCAAGGGUAUGGCUGUUCGCCAUUUAAAGAGGUACGUGAGCUGGGUUUAGAACGUCGUGAGACAGUUCGGUCCCUAUCUUCCGUGGGUGUAGGAUACUUGAGAGGAGUUGCCCCUAGUACGAGAGGACCGGGGUGAACGAUCCACUGGUGGACCUGUUGUUGCGCCAGCAGCAGUGCAGGGUAGCUAUGAUCGGACAGGAUAACCGCUGAAGGCAUCUAAGCGGGAAGCCCCCCUCAAAACAAGGUAUCCCUGAGGACCGAGGUAGACUACCUCGUCGAUAGGCCGGAGAUGUAAGCGCUGCAAGGCGUUCAGUUGACCGGUACUAAUUGUCCGAUAGGCUUGAUUUG